GAUCUCAGAUACCUGGAACCACUGACUUUUGAACUUUUCAUUACUUGAAAUAAAUGUUCUUGUUGCUUAGCCACUUUUAGGUGAUAUAUUACGUUCUGGUGAAAGCAUUCUUCCUAAUACAAGCUGAGAGCUUACAGCUAGGAGACAACCUCCAGGAGCAGAGAUCACACACUCUCGGGCAGAAAAACAGCUUCUGUAUUCUUCCCUGUUUACCAUUCUGGCAUCAAUUUCAAGUGCUCAGUCCCUCAAGCUCUUUCCUCUUUACAAAAGCCCGGCUACUGCAACAAAGCAUCCUGUCUGCUGUAAGUUUCAAGAGACUCUUUGAAACUACUGACCAUCUUUCUCACUGCAUUCAUGCUGCAACAACCCAAAUCCUGCAAAGCUCUGACUGAAUCAGGAAAAAGUGACCUUGGUAGCUAGUCUCCAAAGAUGGCCACCACCAAUACUUGCCUUCCUGCGAUAUAUAUCAUACUCCUUGUAUCAGGAAGAGAAGUGUAAUUCCCUCCCCAUGAAUCUAGGCUGGCCUUAGUGACUUUCUUGGCCAAUAGAAUAUAGCAGAAGGCACAUUCUGGGAUUUGUAAGACUAGGUCGCAG
rnacentral:lncRNA from 1 species